GUUAUACAGAGGUGCAAGCNUUANUCGGANUUNCUUGGGGUAAAGCGCGCGUAGGUNGCCAAUUNAGUCAAAUGUGAANUCCCCGAGCUUAACUUGGGAAUUGCAUUCGAUACUGGUNGCUAGAGUAUGGGAGAGGAUGGUAGAAUUUCCAGGUGUAGCGGUGAAAUGCGUAGAGAUCUGGAGGAAUACCGAUGGCGAAGGCAGCCAUCUGGCUUAAUACUGACACUGAGGUGCGAAAGCAUGGGGAGCAAACAGGAUUAGAUACCCCGGUAGUCCUGGCCGUAAACGAUGGAUACUAGGUGUGGGAGGUAUCGACCCCUUCCGUGCCGGAGUUAACGCAAUAAGUAUCCCGCCUGGGGAGUACGGUCGCAAGACUGAAACUCAAAGGAAUUGACGGGGGCCCGCACAAGCGGUGGAGUAUGUGGUUUAAUUCG
rnacentral:rRNA from 1 species